UGAAUACGAAAUGCUACGGCAUUGAAGUGAUCUAUGCCAGGCUUCCAAGAAAAUCUCGUCAUAUCUUAAGCAGUAGAUGCCUGUACCUUAAACCGACACAGGUAGGUAGGUAGAGUAUACCAAGGAGCGCGAGAUAACUCUCUCUAAGGAACUCGGCAAAAUAACCUCGUAACUUCGGAAGAAGAGGUACCCUUGAAAAAGGGUUGCAAUAACCAGACCCUGGCGACUGUUUACCAAAAACACAGGUCUCCGCUAAUUCGUAAGAUCAAGUAUGGAGGCUGACGCCUGCCCAGUGCCGGAAGGUUAAAGAAGUUGGUCAAUCUUUGGAUGAAGCUGGCGACUGAAGCCCCGGUGAACGGCGGCCGUAACUAUAACGGUCCUAAGGUAGCGAAGUUCCUUGUCGGGUAAGUUCCGACCCGCACGAAAGGCGUAACGAUCAGGGUGCUGUCUCGGAGAGAGACUCGGCGAAAUAGACAUGUCUGUGAAGAUGCGGACUACCUGCACCUGGACAGAAAGACCCUAUGAAGCUUUACUGUAUCUUGGAAUUGGGUUUGGGCCUUGCUUGCGCAGGAUAGGUGGGAGGCUGUGAAGAUAUUCUUGCGGGAAUGUUGGAGCCAACAGUGAGAUACCACUCUAGUAAGGCUAAAAUUCUAACUCUGAACCGUUAUCCGGUCAGAGAACAGUUUCAGGUGGGCAGUUUGACUGGGGCGGUCGCCUCCUAAAAGGUAACGGAGGCGCGCAAAGGUUCCCUCAGGCUGGUUGGACAUCAGUCGUAGAGUGUAAAGGCAUAAGGGAGCUUGACUGCGAGACCCACAAGUCGAGCAGAGACGAAAGUCGGCCUUAGUGAUCCGACGGUUCCACGUGGAAGGGCCGUCGCUCAACGGAUAAAAGUUACUCUAGGAUAACAGGCUGAUCUCCCCCAAGAGUUCACAUCGACGGGGAGGUUUGGCACCUCGAUGUCGGCUCAUCGCAUCCUGGGGCGGUAGUACGUCCCAAGGGUUGGGCUGUUCGCCCAUGAAAGCGGUACGCGAGCUGGGUUCAGAACGUCAGACAGUUCGGUCCAUAUCCGGUGCAGGCGUUAGAGCAUUGAGAGGAGUCCCCCUUAGUACGAGAGGACCGGGGGGAAUACACCGCUGGUGUACCAGUUAUCGUGCCAACGGUAAACGCUGGGUAGCCAUGUGUAGCGCGGAUAACUGCUGAAAGCAUCUAAGUAGGAAGCCCACCUUAAGAUGAGUGCUCUCACCGCUAUAAGCGGGUAAGGUCACGGUAAGAACAACCGUUAUAUAGGCAUUAAGUAUACGUGCAGUAAUGCAUUUAGCUGAGAUGUACUAACAGACCGAGGGCUUGAC
rnacentral:rRNA from 1 species